CCUACGGGUGGCAGCAGUGGGGAAUAUUGGACAAUGGGGGAAACCCUUAUCCAGCGACGCCGCGUGAGGGAAGAAGGUUUUCGGAUUGUAAACCUCUGUCAGUGGGGACGAUAAUGACGGUACCCACGGAGGAAGCCACGGCUAACUACGUGCCAGCAGCCGCGGUAAUACGGAGGAUGCGAGCGUUAUGCGGAUUUGUUGGGUCAAAAGGGUGCGCAGGCGGAGGCACAAGUCAGCGGUAAAAUCGCGGGGCUCAACCCCGGUCCGCCGUUGAAACUGUGCCCCUUGAGUGCGCGAAGGGUAGGCAGAAUGCGUGGUGUAGCGGUGAAAUGCAUAGAUAUCACGCAGAACUCCGAUCGCGAAGGCAGCCUACCGGCGCGCAACUGACGCUCAUGCACGAAAGCGUGGGUAUCGAACAGGAUUAGAUACCCGAGUAGUC
rnacentral:rRNA from 1 species